rnacentral:misc_RNA from 1 species
GAUGAAGAACGCAGCGAAAUGCGAUACGUAAUGUGAAUUGCAGAAUUCAGUGAAUCAUCGAAUCUUUGAACGCAUAUUGCGCUCUCUGGUAUUCCGGAGAGCAUGCUUGUUUGAGUAUCAGUAAACACCUCAACUCCCUUUUCUUUUUUGAAAUUGGAGCUGGACUUGAGUGAUCCCAACGCUUUCUUCCAAGAAAGUGGCGGGUUGCUUGAAAUGCAGGUGCACCUGAACUUUUCUCUGAGCUAUAAGCAUAUCUAUUUAGUCUGCCUAAAAAACAGAUUAUUACCUUUGCUGCAGCUAACAUAAAGGAGACUAGUUCUUGUGCUGACUGAUGCAGGAUUCACAGAGACAGCUUCGGCUGACUUUGUAAACUCGAUCUCAAAUCAAGUAAGACUACCCGCUGAACUUAAGCAUAUCAAUAAGCGGAGGA